GAGCCAGGGCGAGCGCGGCGCCUUCUCCCUCGCCUUGCGUCAUUUUAGGCAUUUUGGUGCCAGGAAGAAGGAGGAGACGUGUAAUUUAUUGCUCCUUUGGGGGCUUGGGAGAGGACAAGUGUUUAUCUUGCCCCCUCAAGAUAUACUACAUAGAAAAGCAUUUUGGAAAAUGUCACUGUGGAGAUUCCUUAAAAUAGUGUACCGAUGGUUUUGCAGCUCUGUAUUUUACCAGCAGCUCUGCCAGCACAGUGUUUCAUCUCAGGCACAGCAAUGAUUCUGCUCAGAAUCUUCAAGGAGAAAAAGGCUAGUGAAAAGAAUUCCUCACUAUCAUAUUCUCAUCACCAAGUCUGACAGAAUUGGGAUAUCUUCAACCUACCCAUAUGUUCCUGAGGAGGACAUAGUAAGUAUGGGAUAUGAGGUAUAGCAUCUUAAGUUAACAAAUUAUUUUUCCAGGUCGUAUUUAUUUACAAUGAACUCAAAUUAUCUGUCAAAUCAGAAUACUGAUAACAAAGGUAAAUUACUACUACAAAAAAAUACAAUUUUGCAUCUAACUGAAUAGAAUCCUAAAUUUUAUCAGUAAUAUCCAG
rnacentral:lncRNA from 1 species